GUAACGGCUUACCAAGGCAACGAUGGGUAGGGGUCCUGAGAGGGAGAUCCCCCACACUGGUACUGAGACACGGACCAGACUCCUACSGGAGGCAGCAGUGAGGAAUAUUGGUCAAUGGGCGCAAGCCUGAACCAGCCAUGCCGCGUGCAGGAUGACGGUCCUAUGGAUUGUAAACUGCUUUUGCACAGGAAGAAACACUCGGUCGUGACCGAGCUUGACGGUACUGUGAGAAUAAGGAUCGGCUAACUCCGUGCCAGCAGCCGCGGUAAUACGGAGGAUCCAAGCGUUAUCCGGAAUCAUUGGGUUUAAAGGGUCCGUAGGCGGCCAGAUAAGUCAGUGGUGAAAGCCCAUCGCUCAACGAUGGAACGGCCAUUGAUACUGUUUGGCUUGAAUUAUUUGGAAGUAACUAGAAUAUGUAGUGUAGCGGUGAAAUGCUUAGAGAUUACAUGGAAUACCAAUUGCGAAGGCAGGUUACUACAAAUUGAUUGACGCUGAUGGACGAAAGCGUGGGUAGCGAACAGGAUUAGAUACCCCUGGUAGUCCACGCCGUAAACGAUGGAUACUAGCUGUUGGGAGCAAUCUCAGUGGCUAAGCGAAAGUGAUAAGUAUCCCACCUGGGGAGUACGUUCGCAAGAAUGAAACUCAAAGGAAUUGACGGGGGCCCGCACAAGCGGUGGAGCAUGUGGUUUAAUUCGAUGAUACGCGAGGAACCUUACCAAGGCUUAAAUGUAGAUUGACCGGUUUGGAAACAGACUUUUCGCAAGACAAUUUACAAGGUGCUGCAUGGUUGUCGUCAGCUCGUGCCGUGAGGUGUCAGGUUAAGUCCUAUAACGAGCGCAACCCCUGUUGUUAGUUGCCAGCGAGUCAUGUCGGGAACUCUAGCAAGACUGCCAGUGUAAACUGUGAGGAAGGUGGGGAUGACGUCAAAUCAUCACGGCCCUUACGCCUUGGGCUACACACGUGCUACAAUGUGCUACAAU
rnacentral:rRNA from 1 species